rnacentral:lncRNA from 1 species
CUUUGUUGUUGAGAUUCUUUUUGAUUAAGUUUGUAUUAUUAGACAGAUAUGACUACGCACGCUACAAUGGGUAAAAACUAUUGUUAUAGAGUUUUUUGUUGUUUAUGUUAUUAUGAAUGGCAUUAGUUAUUUAUUUUGUAUUACUUUUGUUUACAACUGAUAUUAACAAAGAAGUGAGUACCAGUAAGGUAAGGUAAUAAAACCUCCUGAACUAUUUUUGUUGAGCUUGUGAAAUUUAUUUCACAAAAGGAAGACAUAACGAUCCUAAAUUCUGUCAGCGUCAACAUACAUGUAGGUUCCGUCUGUGUAUUAAGAGUUUUUGGGACAGAACCUUCAUUAUGACGAAAUUACAGAUAUUUAUUUUCAUUUUCCCUUAUUUUACUUACAAAUAGACUUGAUUUUUUUUUCAGUUAACUUCAAAUUUUGUCUUAGGUUUAUGUUGUUCAGUCAUCAAUUGCUUUGUCAGAUCUUCAUUGAAAUUUAUGAAAUUUGACAGAAGCUUAUUAAUGAUCAAAAUAUUUUCCGUAUUUUACAGAUAAACAGACUUAGUUAUUUUUACAGUUUCAGCUAGUAACAAGUAGAUACAAUCUAGGGUUAAAGUUUGUCACACAUUAGUUAACGUUACUUUGUCAAACCUUCAUAGAGUUUUAUGAAACUUAGGCAAUAGCUUUUUAACCAAAUGUUAACAAAUAAUGUCUGAAUCAAACUUUUGAAAAUAUAUUUUUUUCAUUUUUAGCAUUUUUUUGUGAUAGAUGGACUUCUAUUUUUACAGCGAACAUUUAAAGACACUCUGAGAUCAUUAGAAUUUUACAUGAUAAAUUUUUAAACCUUCUUUGAUGGAAAUGAAAAUUGUAUCUUCAAGACCAAAAAAUUAGAAUCAAAAGAAAAAUUCAAUUUUUUAAAAUUCUGUAUUUACUGAUAAAUGAAUCAACUUUUCAAGUCAACAUCAAUUGGCGAUUACACAUACACAAUUACAACAGCAGACACAUUUCAUGCAAGACACAGGGUUCUGCUGAACCCUUAUGAUUUUUUUUUCUAAUUCUUCUAUGCUUUCAAUCAUUUCCAGUGUGGACAUUAUUGCUCACUGUAAUGAUAAAGAAAUACAGAUUCUUUAGUCCAACAUUUCAAUUACCAUGUCACAAUUUUGGCAUUUCUUGCACAUUUUACUAAAUGAACAAUGAUGAACUAUAAAAUACUAGAGCUUCUUGAAAUUUGGUUUUAAUUUUUAUGUGAGCAUGCUUUACAAUGUGGUGCAUUGUUAGAUUCAUUGCUCAUCACUUCCUGAAUACCUUGAUAUUUUUACACAUACGGUAAUGGCCAUGUUUAAAAUUUUUCAUUGCAAUUUCUCUUUUGCUAUAAUGUACACUGCUUUCUCGGAUUUGAUAUCAAGGUUCAUGUGACUAUGUGAAGCAGUUUUAUGUGUCUGAUUAAUUAUCUUCCUAUUUACCCAAUUUUUGGAAAGUUUGCUAUAGCUUGCUAUUGCUACUUUCCUUAGGCGUCGGCCUCAAACUUCCGGUGACAGACUAUCGCAAUUUAUUCUGCUCCUAAAUAAUGUAGUACUAGUGUUUGAAUUCUGAUUCUUGGAAGAUUCUUUUGAAAUUUUGAGUGUCUACUCUUUUGACUGAAAAGAUAACAGCUUGAAUUAAAAAGAAAUGAAUGUUCACCGACGAUUCAGAUGAAUUUAACUUCAUUUUGAAAAUGAGUAUCACAAACACUAUUUCGCGGAUCUGUCAUGCGCUGAAGAGAAAAUCACAAGAAAUCUAUGCGAGAUUGUCGUGUUUCAUUCAUGAAUAUUUCAUGAAUGAACAUUUUCACUUUUUUACUAUGCGUACGUACGUAAACGUGGUAAAAGCCUGAGUGUUUUGAAAGAAUUGGGAAUGACUGAUUAAAAUUCGAGAACAAGAGUCAAGUUGACAUUUUGACAAGUGAUAAUGGUUUGUUUAAACAAAACACAGGUAAUAGAAUAUAAAAUACUCGACAAUUAUAUUUCUUAUGUCUCACGUCAAGGACGGGUAAAGGUAAAUACUGGAUAUGAUAAAAAAAAAAUAAAAUGCAUUGUUUUUGUCUAAACAUCGAUCGGAAGGUUUUGAUGCCAAAAAUCAUUUGAAAACUUUUAUUUCCGUUACUUAAAUACUAAUUGUUUCACAUUCCAAUGUGGAUAUAACAGCAUGCUCAAGUGAUCAAACUGACAGCAGAAAAACAUUGACCCAACGUCAAUUCUUCUUCAGUCUUCUCCAAUAAUUUACAUCAUACCACCUCUGGUGUAUUAUCGCAACUUCGUAUCAUAGUAUCAUAUAGCAUCCGUAUUAAAAGCAACCGAGUCAGCAUCUACUUCUUAGAAUAUUAUAGCUCAGGGUAUCAAGACAAGUGCUGUAGAAAUGAUUAAGGGUCAUGAUGUGUACACUUUGGCUAAAAUGGCUGCAUUUUAACCUCAAAUUUAGAUAGAUUACAACAAACCCGUGCAUCUGGAAAAGAUUUAAGGCAUAACAUGCCCUAUAUAAAUAGAAUUCAAUUGUCAUCCAAACACAGAGGCAAUGAUUACCGUAAUAUAUCAAAUGAAUGGCUUAAAACAAAAAUUCUAAAAUGUUAUGACUCAUAGAGGAAAUGCUUUUUCACAACAGCAACUAAAAUGUGUGACAGGUUAUAAGCACCUCUAUGAAUCUAGUGUAGAUAAACUUUUUAUUCCUGUGGUCAUACUGCUGUUGUUAUGCUCCCACUGUAUUGAGUUUUAUCCUUGUUCUUCUGUAAGUAUGUAGGUCCUCUUAAUAUAGGAAGAUGUGGUGUGAGUGCCAAUGAGACAACUCUCCAUCCAAAUAACAAUUUAAAAAAAGUAAACCAUUAUAGGUCAAUGUACGGCCUUCAACACGGAGCCUUGGCUCACACAGCACAACAAACUAUAAAGGGCCCCAAAAUUACUAGUGUAAAACCAUUCAAACGGGAAAACCAACAGUCUAAUCUAUAUAAAAUAAAAAAAACAAAAAACGAGACACGUAUAAAUUACAUAAACAAACGACAACUAUUGUACAUCAGAUUCCUGACUUAGGACAGGUGCAAACAUUUGCAGCGGGAUUAAACGUUUUAAUGGCUGUAUUAAAAGCAACCUAGUCAGCAUCUACUCCUUAGAAUAUUAUAGCUCAGGAUGUCAUGACAAGUGCUGUAGAAAUGAUUAAGGUUCAUGAUGUGUACACUUUGGCUAAAAUGGCUGCAUUUUAACCUCAAAAUUAGAUAGAUUACAACAAAGUGAACAAACCCUGUGCAUCUGGAAAAGAUUUAAGGCAUAACAUGCCCUAUAUAAAUAGAAUUCAAUUGUCAUCCAAACACAGAGGCAAUGAUUACCGUAAUAUAUCAAAUGAAUGGUUAAAAACAAAAAUUCUCAAAUUUUAUGACUCAUAAGACAAUGCUUAAUUUCAGCAACUAAAAUGUGUGACAGGUUAUAAGCACCUCUAUGUUUUCCCUUACUUGUACAUGUGUACCUCCGUACAUCCCAAAUUCUCUUACUUUAGUUUGCCUGAACCAAAUUGUAGGAAACUUAUACGCAAUGCUUAUAACCACAAUUCACAAGUCAAGUUUGAAUUUUAGUUGCGUCACUUUUACAUUUUACAUUCUAGUGUUUUAUGCUACUUUACAAAUAGAAAAGUUGCUGGAAAUUUAAGUUUCUGUUCUCUAACUUAAGUUUGUCUUAACCAAAUAUUAUGAAAUUUAUACACAAUGCUCAUUACCUUAAACACUGAUCAAGUUUGAAUUUUGGUGGCGAUAGUUAUACCGUUUUAUAGUUAUGCCCCUUUACAUAUGUAAAAAUUGCUGAAUAUUUUCGUUUCAGUAAUCUAACUAUAGUUUGCUCAACCAAAUAUUAUGAAACUUAUACACAAUACUUUUAACAAUAAAACCAAGAUCAAGUUUGAAUUUUGGUGGAGUCAUUUUUACUGCUCUAGGGUUGUGCCUCAUUACAAAUUGAACUAGAUGCUCCACAGGGCAUAGCUUUAUACAACAGCAGAGGUCGAAACUCUGAACAGUUGGGGCAAGUAUGGACACAACAUUCAAGCUUGAUACAGCUCUGAAUUUGGAUUGCGAUAAAAAUUUUGACAUAAUAUAUAAGUUUCUCACAUAAAAUAAAUGUCAAGAUCUUACAACUCCAUUGCGCAAUACUGUGUAAUUAGAACGUAUACACAAUGCUUAUUACCCCAUAACUCAGAUCAAGUACAAAUUUUGUUAGCGUCACAUUUACAGUUCUUGAGUUGUGACCCUUUAUAAUGUUAAUGCUAGCGGGGGCAUCAUUUGUGUCCCAUGGACACGUUCCCUAUUUUUGAUAAAAGCCUUUAAUAUAAAUUCAUUUUCAUUCCAGUUGUAUCGAUUUAAGUUACUGCAACUGUCUUAUUUAUAAAAAAGGAUGCAGUAUUUUUUGCAAAGAACCAAUGCUAUUCAAAAAAGGAAAAUGUAUUACAGUGACUUGACUGUAAGUGUUGCUAUCCACCAAUUGCAACUUCUUCAAAAUUCUGACAAAAUUGCAAUUUGUUUCAUAAAAUCAAAUUGUUCAACUGGUCAGAAAUUUGAACUAUCUGCUGUAGAAAACCACAGUCAAGUAGUGAAAGUGCAAGAUUGAUAAAUAAAAAUACUUACAAUCCUAUAAGACUUAACUUCACUUAAUGAUGUUGUGACAAAAUUAGUUUAUCAGUUUGUAUAGCUUAUAUUAUAGUCAUUUCCAUGCUGAAGGAACUGUUAUUAUUUUGAAUUGCUAUAAAAAUGUCCAAACUAAGCUUUCAUAUAGUUUUACUUUCUAAAAGUAUUCUAUAUUCAUAAGAAUCAGACAUUAUGUGAUUAAAAACAUUUCAUAUUCAGUAAAAUAUGUGUAAAAUUGCAAUAUAUUUGUAGGAAGUGUCCAUGGGGAGAUAAUCAUUUUUUCUUUCAAAAAGUCUUUAUUCAAAAGAAUAUAUUUUUAGGUUAUCUCCCCAUUUAUAGCAUAUUGUUAUUUCUUAUUUCCAUGGGGGGGAAGUUUGGACUUAUAGCAAAGAAAUAAUGACUCACCAUUGAUUUCACUAGCAUCUAUUGCAAUAAAAUUUAUAUCUGAAUAUAUAAAGAUUCGAUUUAGUAUUGUUUUAAAAUAAGAUUAAAAAUCUGAAUUGUUCACCAAUCAAUAUGUCACCAAGGGAAGAUAUAGAAUACUUUUAGAAAGAAAAACUAUAUGAAAGCUUAGUUUGGACAUUUUUAUAGCAAUUAGAAAUAAUGACAGUUCCUUCACCCAUGGAAAUGACUAUAAAUACCUAUACAAACUGAUGCCUUAUUUUGUCUCAACAUCAUUAAAGUGGAGUUAAAGUCUUAUAGGAUUGUAAGUAUGUUUUAUUUUAUCACCUUGCACUUUCACAUUUUGGCUGAACAAUUUGUUCAAUAUUUUGACCAGUUGAACAACUUGUUUUAAUAAAACAAAUUGCAAUUUAUUCAAAAUUUUGAAUGAGUUGCAAUUGCUGAAUAGCAGCACUAACAGUCAACUGAGUAAGUCACUGUAAUAACUAUGGGCCACCAUACGGUCGUCAAUAAUGAGAAAUAUUUGUACCAUAUUUGUUUAGAAAGCUAUGAAAGGCCUCUAUAUGAAACAUGUGGAACAAUUCAAACAAGAAAUCUUACGUGUUAAUCAGUAACAAAACAUUGUACUAAAAAACAAAUAUGAAGGACCUAAACCAAUAGAAAAAUACUAAUUCACAGGCCCUUGAAGUUGACAUGGCAUGGGUACUUAAAGAAAUUAACCGAGCUUAACCGAGCUUUCUGUAUAUUUCAUUUUUUUAGAUCUACAGUUUUAGGUUGCAAUAGAAAAUAUCAAAACUUUUUAGGAUAAACUUGUAAAAAAGUGAUUUUUGAUAAUUACUGAUAAGACAAUGGUUUAGACAAAGCUGUGAUGAAAUACAUAUUUGAAAUAAUACAUGUCUAUAACUUUUUUGGAAUAAUACACAGCUACUGUUGCAAACUUUCCAGAGGUGCUAUCUAGCACUUUGAUUAUAUUACAGACAUCCAUUACAUGCCAGGCAUAUUGGUCCAUAUGAAAUAGAACCCAAAAUAAAUUACUUACCGGUAGCUAAAACGUUGUAACAUGCUUUAUUUGUUUAUUAAAUUUCUUUGAAAAAACGCCUAUUGUAGUGUAAACAAGCAUCCUAUCAGUUUACUGAAUCAGACUUUGAACUUCUAAAUAUGGUACUUGAGUUUUUUCUGUCUAGGACAACGAUUACAGGCAUUUUACUCCAUAAGAGUCAAAUUAUGAGUUUCAUUUACCGGUAUAUUCAUUUGUUUUGUAUAGAUAAAGUGCAUAGAAGGUUACUUAGAGGCAUUUUGCCACAUAUGAGUCAAAGCAAAAGACUUACUCUUAGACUAUAUAUUAUCAGAACACUAAGAACCAUGUGUUUAAUCUUGUUGUUACUUCUGUUUCAGUGUGUGGUGAUACUUUUAGCUCCUAAAAUUAUAUUGAUAAAAUUGUAAUGUAUUAUAUUUGCAGAUGUUACUUUAAGUGCAUUAAAUGCCCCAGAGAGUGACAUAGAUAUUGAGGGGGAUUCAUCAUCUUCAAAGAAGUUAGAAUUUGAUUCAGGUAAUAUAUAUAUCAAUGAAAGAGUGAUAAUGUUAAUGUCAUGUAAUAUUUUAUAGAUAUAGAUAAUAAUAAUAUAUCUAUAUCUAUAAAAUAUUACACUGAUUAUUCUGUCCUCAUAUCUUGACUUACAUCUGCAUAUCAACAAUAAUGGUUGUUUGAGAACAAAAUUUGAACAAAAUAGAUGAUUCAACUUUCCAAUUCUAUGUAGCAACAUUCCAGCACUGCCUGCAUAUGGAGUAUAUAUCUGUCAGGUGGAAUGUAUUUCAAGGGCUUACGUUUCCUAUAAUGAUUUCUUUCAUAGAGGGAUGCUGCAGAAGCAAUUAAACCAUAUGUAUGAGUUCCAAAUUUUGAAAUUUAUACCACAAUUCCAUCCUCUUUUUCCCUGAAUGUGACCUACCAAUAAAAUAAAAAAGAAGAUGGGGUUUGAUUGCCAAUGAGACAACUCUUCACAAGCUCAUUGACACAGAAAUUAACAAAUAAAGUUCAAUGUUUGAUCUUCAUCAAUGAGCAAAGCCCAUAGUCAGCUAUAAAAGGUCCUGAAAUAACAAACGUAAAAAGAUUCAAACAAGAAAACUAAACAAUAAGCCUUAUCACCAGCCUUGUUCUUACUUACAUAACUUUUUUUCUCUAGCAUUUUUACAAUCAGCUAAUUGAUUUAUUAUUUUAGAUGUGGAUUCAAGUAUGUUGUGACAGAAAGCUGGAAUUUAAUUGACUGUUUUCUAAUACAUAGAAGUACACAGAACUGGGCCAUUGUGUUUGGUGUAGUUAAGUGCAAUUAAAGUUGGAUAAACAGAUACUGUCAUCUUGCUUGUUGAUAUUUACAUUGAAGAUGAAGCAUUUGGACUGAACUAUCUGAAAUCAUAUGUCUGCUUUGAUAUAUUUAUUUAUUCGUUCAACAGUUGCCAUCCAGAAAAGUUUUAGCAAUGCGAUAGUUACUUUUAGGACUUUCCAAACUUAUUACAAAAAUGACAAUCUUUUAAUUGCUGUCAAAUUUGUUAACCUCAUCUUCAAUGAUUCUUAUGUUGUUCAUCUUUUCAUUCAUUUGUCAGGCUUGUUUCCAGAUAAUCGUUAUUUACACAAAUUAAUUCUAAAAUUACAUGUAAACUUUUUUUAUUUAUCAUGAUUUUUUAACUUCUGGUUGAUACUAAAAGUACUGAUUGACAAACUACUAAGAGAAUUUUUGUCAAUUUUUACUUGUAUAAAUGUUGUUUUUAAUAUUUUUUUAGAGGAUACCUUUGUUAGUUUGUUAGAGAAUUUGUCAUCAUGUGUGAAAUUAAAAAAGUAAAUAAAACAUUUGUAUAUAUACAUGUAUAUAGUAUCAUGAAUAAAGGCAAUUUUAAAC